rnacentral:rRNA from 1 species
CCUACGGGAGGCAGCAGUGAGGACUAUUGGUCAAUGGACGAGAGUCUGAACCAGCCAAGUAGCGUGAAGGCUGACUGCCCUAUGGGUUGUAAACUUCUUUUAUAAAGGAAUAAAACGAGGCACGUGUGCCUUUUUGCAUGUACUUUAUGAAUAAGGAUCGGCUAACUCCGUGCCAGCAGCCGCGGUAAUCCGGAGGAUCCGAGCGUUCGCCGGAUGUAUUGGGUUUAAAGGGAGCGUAGAUGGGGUGUUAAGUCAGGUGUGAAAGUUUGCGGCUUAAACGUAAAAUUGCAAUUGAUACUGGCAGUCUUGAGUACAGGUGAGGUAGGCGGAAUUCGUGGUGUAGCGGUGAAAUGCUUAGAUAUCACGAAGAACCCCGAUUGCGAAGGCAGCUUACUAAACUGUGACUGACAUUGAUGCUCGAAAGUGUGGGUAUCAAACAGGAUGAGAUACCCUAGUAGUC